rnacentral:rRNA from 1 species
UCUUGGUCCAUUUAGAGGAAGUAAAAGUCGUAACAAGGUCUCCGUAGGUGAACCUGCGGAGGGAUCAUUACACAAAUAUGAAGGCGGGCUGGAACCUCUCGGGGUUACAGCCUUGCUGAAUUAUUCACCCUUGUCUUUUGCGUACUUCUUGUUUCCUUGGUGGGUUCGCCCACCACUAGGACAAACAUAAACCUUUUGUAAUUGCAAUCAGCGUCAGUAACAAAUUAAUAAUUACAACUUUCAACAACGGAUCUCUUGGUUCUGGCAUCGAUGAAGAACGCAGCGAAAUGCGAUAAGUAGUGUGAAUUGCAGAAUUCAGUGAAUCAUCGAAUCUUUGAACGCACAUUGCGCCCUUUGGUAUUCCAAAGGGCAUGCCUGUUCGAGCGUCAUUUGUACCCUCAAGCUUUGCUUGGUGUUGGGCGUCUUGUCUCUAGCUUUGCUGGAGACUCGCCUUAAAGUAAUUGGCAGCCGGCCUACUGGUUUCGGAGCGCAGCACAAGUCGCACUCUCUAUCAGCAAAGGUCUAGCAUCCAUUAAGCCUUUUUUUCAACUUUUGACCUCGGAUCAGGUAGGGAUACCCGCUGAACUUAAGCAUAUCAAUA